rnacentral:lncRNA from 1 species
AAUUGUUCAGCAUAAUUUCAAUCAAAACAAGCCAGAAAAAUGCAAUCAACUAGAACUAGCAAAUGACAAGUGCCAAAAUAUAGACCCUCCCCCACACUAGUUCAGAACAUGGUCAAAAUUCAAAACAAAAUAUUCAACUAGACACAAAAGUAAAUAAGUGAGAGAGAGUAAAAGUAGCUUCCCUGAGAAAGCUUUCAACCAUUGAGGCGAGCGACAUAUCUCACUUGGAGCAACCCUUCAUCAUAAUGUUUUGCAACUGCCCAUUAACUUUGAAAGUAGUGUCAUCUUCUUUAGAAACCUCAAGUGCUCCGUGAGGAAGAACUCCAGUGACAGUGUAACGUCUGAACCAUCUUGAGUGCAACAUUUCGGGAUAAAGAUGCUGAUUUUCUUCAAAAUAAAAUUAAACAUACCAACAUAAUAAAAAUAUAAUAAACUAAAAUAUAAAACAAUAAACACGGGUUGCCUCCCGCGAAGCGCUUAUUUAACGUCCUGAGCUUGACGAGAGCCAAAUAAUCAAUCAGGUGGCUCUCCAAGGGCAAAUUUCACCUUUAAUGCAUUGCCCCUUCUUAACUUUCUAAUCAUGUGGUUCAUAUUAUUCUUUCUUUUUCCAUGUGGUGGAUGAGCUUCAAAAAAAAGUGAAGUUUUCACUUCCAUAACAUCCACCAUUAUGCUAGGAUCCUGCAAAAUAAGAGUCUUUUCCAAAGGGUCCUGCAUCCUUAAAUCACUAAAAUUAUUAGUAAUAACCAGAUUGUCAAAAUAGGAAGAAAUAAAAUGAGAGAAUUUUUCAACAGAAUUUAAAGCUUUCAAAACAUCAUCUUCCUUACCAUGCCUUAAGCUUACCUUUCCCUUUUGAACCUCAAUUACCACAUCACCAAUGGUUACUAGAGUUUGACCCAAAAUGAUCGGGGCUUCUAGACUUUCUUUUUUGUCUUGAACCACAAGGUAUUUUUCUUCACAAUUGCUCUCUUCAGUAAGAGCUUAUUCACAUCCUACUGAUACAAGUCCCUCAUGUUCAAGCUUUUCAUUUAAGUCUACACCACUAAUGAGAGUGACAUUUUCGUAUUCUUCCUCUUGCUUGGGCUCAACAUGUGUGGAUAUUGAGUCUUGAGGUUGUAAGUGUCUCAUUGACAUAUGGCUCUUCCGCUUGUUUUGGACACCAACGUCUCAAGCAAGGUGGUAUGUAAUUAAUGUCCCUCUUGAAAGGGUGAGGAUCAUGUUGCUCCUGCGACCAACGUCGCAAGCAAGGUGGUAUAUAGUUAAUGUCCCGCAUGGGAGGGUGAGGAUCAUGUUGCUCCCCAUUAUGGACAAUUUCACCAUCAUCCCAUAUACUUCUUGUCGGACAUUUUUCACUUUCAUGCCCCACUAAAUCACAAUGUUCACAAGGAAGAGAGGUAUAUAUCUCACAUUGUCUUUGAAGAAUUUCCAAUUUAGCUAUUAUAGCAUCCAAUUUAGCUUCUAUGAUGUAAUCUCUCAUUGUUUUUCUCUCAGCCAUG